rnacentral:rRNA from 1 species
AACGAACGCUGGCGGCAUGCCUAACACAUGCAAGUCGAACGAGAUCCUUCGGCGUCUAGUGGCGCCCGGGUGCGUAACGCGUGGGGAUCCACCCUUAGGUUCGGCCUAACAGUUAGAAAUGACUGCUAAUACCGGAGGAUGACGUUAAGUCCAAAGAUCUAUCGCCUGAGGAUGAGCGCGCGUAGGAUUAGCUAGUUGGUGUGGUAAAGGCGCACCAAGGCGACGAUCCGUAGCUGGUCUGAUAGGAUGAUCAGCCACACUGGGACUGAGACACGGCCCAGACUCCUACGGGAGGCAGCAGUGGGGAAUAUUGGACGAUGGGCGCAAGCCUGAUCCAGCAACGCCGCGUGAGUGAUGAAGGCCUUAGGGUUGUAAAGCUCUUUUACCCGAGAUGAUAAUGACAGUAUCGGGAGAAUAAGCCCCGGCUAACUCCGUG